rnacentral:rRNA from 1 species
AGCGCAGGUCCUUCCGGACCUGGCUAAUCGGAUGAGGCUAAUGUCGGAUACGUGUUUGGAGUACGAUCCACCAGCGACGAUUCGUAGGUGUCGAGAGGAUUGAUCAGCAACUCGACUGAGACACGCCGAACUCCUACGGAGGCAGCAGUGGGGAUAUGACAAUGGGGCAACCUGAUCCAGCAUGCGCGGUGUGUGAAGAAGCCCUCGGGUGUAAAGCACUUCAGCGAGGAAGAAUGCUUGUCGGUUAAUACCCGGCAAGGGAGACAUCACUCGCAGAAGAAGCACCGGGCUAACUCCGUGCCAGCAGCCGCGGUAAUACGGAGGGUGCGAGCGUUAAUCGGAAUUACUGGGCGUAAAGCGUGCGUAGGCGGCUUGAUAAGCCGGUUGUGAAAGCCCCGGGCUCAACCUGGGAACGGCAUCCGGAACUGUUAGGCUAGAGUGCAGGAGAGGAAGGUAGAAUUCCCCGGUGUAGCGGUGAAAUGCGUAGAGAUCGGGAGGAAUACCAGUGGCGAAGGCGGCCUUCUGGACUGACACUGACGCUGAGGUACGAAAGCGUGGGUAGCAAACAGGAUUAGAUACCCUGGUAGUCCACGCCGUAAACGAUGUCGACUAGCCGUUGGGGUCCUCGAGACCUUUGUGGCGCAGUUAACGCACUAAGUCGACCGCCUGGGGAGUACGGCCGCAAGGUUAAAACUCAAAUGAAUUGACGGGGGCCCGCACAAGCGGUGGAGCAUGUGGUUUAAUUCGAUGCAACGCGAAGAACCUUACCUACCCUUGACAUCGUGCGAACUUUCCAGAGAUGGAUUGGUGCCUUCGGGAGCGCACAGACAGGUGCUGCAUGGCUGUCGUCAGCUCGUGUUGUGAAAUGUUGGGUUAAGUCCCGUAACGAGCGCAACCCUUGUCCCUAUUUGCCAGCGAUUCGGUCGGGAACUCUAGGGAGACUGCCGGUGACAAACCGGAGGAAGGUGGGGACGACGUCAAGUCAUCAUGGCCCUUACGGGUAGGGCUACACACGUGCUACAAUGGCCGGUACAAUGGGUUGCAAAGCGGCGACGUGGAGCUAAUCUCAUAAAGCCGGUCUCAGUCCGGAUCGGAGUCUGCAACUCGACUCCGUGAAGUCGGAAUCGCUAGUAAUCGUGCAUCAGAAUGGCACGGUGAAUACGUUCCCGGGCCUUGUACACACCGCCCGUCACACCAUGGGAGUGGACUGCACCAUGAAGAGUGUGUUAGCCUAAUCUACAGAGGGUGAUCAAGCACAGAUAGAAAACGAA